rnacentral:rRNA from 1 species
AGUGGCGAACGGGUGAGUAACACGUGGGCAAUCUGCCCUUCACUCUGGGACAAGCCCUGGAAACGGGGUCUAAUACCGGAUAUCACUUCCACGGGCAUCUGUGGGGGUUGAAAGCUCCGGCGGUGAAGGAUGAGCCCGCGGCCUAUCAGCUUGUUGGUGAGGUAAUGGCUCACCAAGGCGACGACGGGUAGCCGGCCUGAGAGGGCGACCGGCCACACUGGGACUGAGACACGGCCCAGACUCCUACGGGAGGCAGCAGUGGGGAAUAUUGCACAAUGGGCGAAAGCCUGAUGCAGCGACGCCGCGUGAGGGAUGACGGCCUUCGGGUUGUAAACCUCUUUCAGCAGGGAAGAAGCGAAAGUGACGGUACCUGCAGAAGAAGCGCCGGCUAACUACGUGCCAGCAGCCGCGGUAAUACGUAGGGCGCAAGCGUUGUCCGGAAUUAUUGGGCGUAAAGAGCUCGUAGGCGGCUUGUCACGUCGGGUGUGAAAGCCCGGGGCUUAACCCCGGGUCUGCAUUCGAUACGGGCAGGCUAGAGUGUGGUAGGGGAGAUCGGAAUUCCUGGUGUAGCGGUGAAAUGCGCAGAUAUCAGGAGGAACACCGGUGGCGAAGGCGGAUCUCUGGGCCAUUACUGACGCUGA